UUCAACAACUAACAAAAAUCCCAACAUCUCGGUUAGUUCAUCACAAUCUAAGGCUUUCAAUGGUCCACAUCAGCUUCCCACUAUAGGAUAUCACCAAAAGGAGCAUCCAUAACCAUAUGUUCCAAGCUGAAAGUGAGUGGCACCGGUAUCUCCACGGAACAAAGUCUAACCAUGUAUCGUCUUCCUUAGCUAAAGGCCGAGCUUCGAUCUUUUCAUAUCAAAAUAAACAAAUACUCCAUAGCUAUCCAAUUCAAGGACUUCUACAUGCCUCGAAAGACCAUUUUCUUUUCUUCAAUAAGGACAGGGCCGACAUUGGUUUAUUACAUCGAACAGGUGGAGGGCAUUUCUAGGUUAUGGAGCAAAUGGCGUCAAAUAGAACAUCAUGAACAUAACAAUUAUCACGAACGACACGCGAGCUAAAGUGACUUGGCAGAAGAGGCUAAUGAAAACACACAACCUCGGAGCUAAAAAAAAAAA
rnacentral:lncRNA from 1 species